rnacentral:rRNA from 1 species
AUGGCACACACACAUACAUCAUACAUGGAUCAUCAAAUCCAAAAUGAAAUUGAUUUCCUGUCACAUUUCUUGGCAAAGAUAGAACUGGGCAUGAAAAGGAAGAAAUGCUUCAUAAGCAACUCAUUUUGUGUGAGCAUCACACAAACCUUCGUACAUAGUGACUUUUACAACCAAAUUAAGAGACAUAAGCAGCAGCAGCAGCAGCUGAAGAAGAAGAAGAGGACGUAUGGGGCGCAUCGAGUCGGGGUGGGGGUGGGGGGAUCUAGGCCCCGCCGCGGCGCUUGGCCUCCUCGGCCUGGACCAUGCGGCGGGAGGCGUCGGCGACGCGCUCCAGGGCCUGCUCGACGGCGUCGCGGCCGCCGAUGA